rnacentral:rRNA from 1 species
CAAAAACAUCGCCUCUUGCAAAUAAUGAAUAAGAGGUCCCGCCUGCCCUGUGACUAAAAGUUUAACGGCCGCGGUAUUUUGACCGUGCGAAGGUAGCGCAAUCACUUGUCUCUUAAAUAGAGACCCGUAUGAAUGGCACAACGAGGGCUUGACUGUCUCCCUUUCCUAGUCAAUGAAAUUGAUCCCCCCGUGCAGAAGCGGGGAUAAAUACAUAAGACGAGAAGACCCUAUGGAGCUUCAGACACUAAAGCAACCCAUGUUAAACACACCCAGCCACCGGACUAAACCAAUUGGAAUCUGCCCUAAUGUCUUUGGUUGGGGCGACCGCGGGGAAAGACAAAACCCCCAUGUGGAACGGGAAAAAUACUCCUAAAACCAAGAGUGACAACUCCAAGAAUCAGAACUUCUGACCUAAUGAUCCGGUAAACCGAUCAACGAACCGAGUUACCCUAGGGAUAACAGCGCAAUCCCCUUUUAGAGCCCAUAUCGACAAGGGGGUUUACGACCUCGAUGUUGGAUCAGGACAUCCUAAUGGUGCAGCCGCUAUUAAGGGUUCGUUUGUUCAACGAUUAAAGUCCUACGUGAUCU